rnacentral:ncRNA from 1 species
UUGAUAUUUCGAAUCAGAAGGGAAAACUUUAAGGAGUUUUUCGAGUAUUAUCUAUAUAUAAAAGAAACGUAAUUCCUUCCUUAAAUGGUAAAAAAUAAAAGAGCAAUAUAGUGCAAGUAAGAUUUUGAAAGUGAUAUAUUGCA